UACGAAGGGGGCUAGCGUUGCUCGGAAUCACUGGGCGUAAAGCGCACGUAGGCGGAUUGCUAAGUCAGGGGUGAAAUCCUGGAGCUCAACUCCAGAACUGCCUUUGAUACUGGCGAUCUUGAGUCCGGGAGAGGUGAGUGGAACUGCGAGUGUAGAGGUGAAAUUCGUAGAUAUUCGCAAGAACACCAGUGGCGAAGGCGGCUCACUGGACACGUAUUGACGCUGAGGUGCGAAAGCGUGGGGAGCAAACAGG
rnacentral:rRNA from 1 species